rnacentral:hammerhead_ribozyme from 1 species
AUCCAGUUGAAGAGUCCCAAAUAGGACGAAACGCGCAUCCUGGAU